rnacentral:rRNA from 1 species
CCUACGGGAGGCAGCAGUAAGGAAUAUUGGUCAAUGGACGCAAGUCUGAACCAGCCAUGCCGCGUGGAGGAUGAAGGCCCUCUGGGUUGUAAACUUCUUUUAUCUGGGACGAAACCUCUUAUUCUUAAGAGACUGACGGUACCAGAGGAAUAAGCACCGGCUAACUCCGUGCCAGCAGCCGCGGUAAUACGGAGGGUGCAAGCGUUAUCCGGAUUCACUGGGUUUAAAGGGUGCGUAGGAGGGCAGGUAAGUCAGUGGUGAAAUCUCCGGGCUUAACUCGGAAACUGCCGUUGAUACUAUCUGUCUUGAAUACCGUGGAGGUGAGCGGAAUAUGUCAUGUAGCGGUGAAAUGCUUAGAUAUGACAUAGAACACCAAUUGCGAAGGCAGCUCACUACACGCAUAUUGACUCUGAGGCACGAAAGCGUGGGGAUCAAACAGG